CACGUAGGGUGCGAGCGUUGUCCGGAAUUAUUGGGCGUAAAGGGCGCGUAGGCGGCGCGAUAAGUCAAAGGUGAAAUCCCGCGGCUCAACUGCGGGUCUGCAGUCGAUACGGGCAGACUAGAGUGCGGUAGGGGAGAUUGGAAUUCCUGGUGUAGCGGUGGAAUGCGCAGAUAUCAGGAGGAACACCGAUGGCGAAGGCAGAUCUCUGGGCCGUAACUGACGCUGAGGAGCGAAAGCAUGGGGAGCGAACAGG
rnacentral:rRNA from 1 species